rnacentral:rRNA from 1 species
AGACCCGAAACCCGGUGAUCUAGCCAUGGGCAGGUUGAAGGUUGGGUAACACUAACUGGAGGACCGAACCGACUAAUGUUGAAAAAUUAGCGGAUGACCUGUGGCUGGGGGUGAAAGGCCAAUCAAACCGGGAGAUAGCUGGUUCUCCCCGAAAGCUAUUUAGGUAGCGCCUCGUGAAUUCAUCUCCGGGGGUAGAGCACUGUUUCGGCUAGGGGGCCAUCCCGGCUUACCAACCCGAUGCAAACUGCGAAUACCGGAGAAUGUUAUCACGGGAGACACACGGCGGGUGCUAACGUCCGUCGUGAAGAGGGAAACAACCCAGACCGCCAGCUAAGGUCCCAAAGUCAUGGUUAAGUGGGAAACGAUGUGGGAAGGCCCAGACAGCCAGGAUGUUGGCUUAGAAGCAGCCAUCAUUUAAAGAAAGCGUAAUAGCUCACUGGUCGAGUCGGCCUGCGCGGAAGAUGUAACGGGGCUAAACCAUGCACCGAAGCUGCGGCAGCGACACUCAGGUGUUGUUGGGUAGGGGAGCGUUCUGUAAGCCUGUGAAGGUGGCCUGUGAGGGUUGCUGGAGGUAUCAGAAGUGCGAAUGCUGACAUAAGUAACGAUAAAGCGGGUGAAAAGCCCGCUCGCCGGAAGACCAAGGGUUCCUGUCCAACGUUAAUCGGGGCAGGGUGAGUCGACCCCUAAGGCGAGGCCGAAAGGCGUAGUCGAUGGGAAACGGGUUAAUAUUCCCGUACUUGGUGUUACUGCGAAGGGGGGACGGAGAAGGCUAUGUUGGCCGGGCGACGGUUGUCCCGGUUUAAGCGUGUAGGUGUGUGUUCCAGGUAAAUCCGGUUCACUUUAACACUGAGGCGUGACGACGAGGCACUACGGUGCUGAAGCAACAAAUGCCCUGCUUCCAGGAAAAGCCUCUAAGCAUCAGGUAACACGAAAUCGUACCCCAAACCGACACAGGUGGUCAGGUAGAGAAUACCAAGGCGCUUGAGAGAACUCGGGUGAAGGAACUAGGCAAAAUGGUGCCGUAACUUCGGGAGAAGGCACGCUGACACGUAGGUGAAGUGAUUUACUCAUGGAGCUGAAGUCAGUCGAAGAUACCAGCUGGCUGCAACUGUUUAUUAAAAACACAGCACUGUGCAAACACGAAAGUGGACGUAUACGGUGUGACGCCUGCCCGGUGCCGGAAGGUUAAUUGAUGGGGUCAGCGCAAGCGAAGCUCCUGAUCGAAGCCCCGGUAAACGGCGGCCGUAACUAUAACGGUCCUAAGGUAGCGAAAUUCCUUGUCGGGUAAGUUCCGACCUGCACGAAUGGCGUAAUGAUGGCCAGGCUGUCUCCACCCGAGACUCAGUGAAAUUGAACUCGCUGUGAAGAUGCAGUGUACCCGCGGCAAGACGGAAAGACCCCGUGAACCUUUACUAUAGCUUGACACUGAACAUUGAGCCUUGAUGUGUAGGAUAGGUGGGAGGCUUUGAAGUGUGGACGCCAGUCUGCAUGGAGCCGACCUUGAAAUACCACCCUUUAAUGUUUGAUGUUCUAACGUGGACCCGUGAUCCGGGUUGCGGACAGUGUCUGGUGGGUAGUUUGACUGGGGCGGUCUCCUCCUAAAGAGUAACGGAGGAGCACGAAGGUUGGCUAAUCCUGGUCGGACAUCAGGAGGUUAGUGCAAUGGCAUAAGCCAGCUUGACUGCGAGCGUGACGGCGCGAGCAGGUGCGAAAGCAGGUCAUAGUGAUCCGGUGGUUCUGAAUGGAAGGGCCAUCGCUCAACGGAUAAAAGGUACUCCGGGGAUAACAGGCUGAUACCGCCCAAGAGUUCAUAUCGACGGCGGUGUUUGGCACCUCGAUGUCGGCUCAUCACAUCCUGGGGCUGAAGUAGGUCCCAAGGGUAUGGCUGUUCGCCAUUUAAAGUGGUACGCGAGCUGGGUUUAGAACGUCGUGAGACAGUUCGGUCCCUAUCUGCCGUGGGCGCUGGAGAACUGAGGGGGGCUGCUCCUAGUACGAGAGGACCGGAGUGGACGCAUCACUGGUGUUCGGGUUGUCAUGCCAAUGGCACUGCCCGGUAGCUAAAUGCGGAAGAGAUAAGUGCUGAAAGCAUCUAAGCACGAAACUUGCCCCGAGAUGAGUUCUCCCUGAGACUUUAGGUCUCCUGAAGGAACGUUGAAGACGACGACGUUGAUAGGCCGGGUGUGUAAGCGCAGCGAUGCGUUGAGCUAACCGGUACUAAUGAACCGUGAGGCUUAACCUUACAACGCCGAAG